CCCUUAGAUGUUCUGGGCCACACGCGCGUUACACUGAUGAAGCCAGCGAGUAUAUCGCCUUCACCGGAAGGUGCGGGUAAUCUUGUGAAACUUCAUCGUGCUGGGGAUAGACCAUUGCAAUUAUUGGUCUUGAACGAGGAAUUCCUAGUAAGCAUGAGUCAUCAACUCGUGCUGAUUACGUCCCUGCCCUUUGUACACACCGCCCGUCGCUACUACCGAUUGAAUGGUUUAGUGAGAUCUCGGGAUUGGAGACGUUGCGCCGCAAGGCACAUCGUCCUCGAGAACUUGAUCAAACUUGAUCAUUUAGAGGAAGUAAAAGGCGUAACA
rnacentral:rRNA from 1 species